UACGGAGGGUGCAAGCGUUAAUCGGAAUUACUGGGCGUAAAGCGUGCGCAGGCGGUUUUGUAAGUCUGUCGUGAAAGCCCCGGGCUCAACCUGGGGAUUGCGAUGGAUACUGGAAGGCUAGAAUCUGGCAGAGGGGGGUAGAAUUCCACGUGUAGCAGUGAAAUGCGUAGAGAUCUGGAGGAACACCGAUGGCGAAGGCAGCCCCCUGGGUC
rnacentral:rRNA from 1 species